GACGGGGGGGGCAAGUGUUCUUCGGAAUGACUGGGCGUAAAGAGCGUGUAGGCGGCCUGGUAGGUCAGCUGUGAAAACUCGAGGCUCAACCUCGAGACGCCGGUUGAAACCAUCAGGCUAGAGUCCGGAAGAGGAGAGUGGAAUUCCCGGUGUAGCGGUGAAAUGCGCAGAUAUCGGGAAGAACACCCGUGGCUAAGGCGGCUCUCUAGUACGGUACUGACGCUGAGACGCGAAAGCGUGGGGAGCGAACAGG
rnacentral:rRNA from 1 species